rnacentral:piRNA from 1 species
CCAAGACCCUGCUUAUUUCUGUGUGGC